rnacentral:rRNA from 1 species
UGGCGGACGGGUGAGUAAUGUCUGGGAAACUGCCUGAUGGAGGGGGAUAACUACUGGAAACGGUAGCUAAUACCGCAUAACGUCGCAAGACCAAAGAGGGGGACCUUCGGGCCUCUUGCCAUCGGAUGUGCCCAGAUGGGGUUAGCUAGUAGGUGGGGUAAAGGCUCACCUAGGCGACGAUCCCUAGCUGGUCUGAGAGGAUGACCAGCCACACUGGAACUGAGACACGGUCCAG